UUGCUAUCUGCGAUAUUCAAGAUUCGAGCCUGCAGCAGGUUCGAGCCGAACGCAGUGAGGCAACGGAGCCGUAAGGCGACGGCCCGAAGGGCGAGCGAAGCGAGUUAUCCUGCACGCCCCACCA
rnacentral:sRNA from 1 species